rnacentral:antisense_RNA from 1 species
UGGCCGACUGGCUGGCACCGUAGAAAUAACUGUAGCUGUCACUGAGCAGUUCCCGGAAUAACAGGUCAGGGUCCGGUCUGCCGCCA